rnacentral:sRNA from 1 species
CAACGAUUCGACAUCUUCAUUGUUCUUUUUGUCUCGGACAUCAUCGUCGCUGCUGUGUAUAUCCUGAGUGUGCUUUUGACACGUCUCCACAUCUACGUGAAUAUCGUUUGUUGCAUUGUCCCUCCGACCAGUCAUAGCGAAAACCUGGCCCUUGAAACUUCAGCAACUUGUCGUAUCUGAAAUGUUCCGCUUCCGCCCACAUACGUACAGAAUUAAAACCGCUUUCAUUUGCGGAUCUGAAGGAUACUCGGGAGUUCAAAGAAUACAUCAAUCCGACAGUGUAAAGUUUUGAUUGGAUCCCUUGUAGAGUAGAACCCAGGAGAGAUGCCGGUGUCUGGACGAAUUCAAUCAUGAAAGUUAUGGCCAGGAUUGUAGGAGGAAUCUGAGAUUCAAAUGUGAUACGGAUCAGUCGGACAAUGGCCUAGAGGUAAAGGUAAUCUUCAGUCAUUACGCCCAGGUCAUAUAAUCGUACAUACCUUGUCAGUGUGUGCCCAUCCAGUCUUUGACCGAAGUAAACCAUUAAGGAUCAAUAAAGUAAUAAGGAUAUCAGCCGCCAUGAUAGAUGCCAGCCAGACUGUUUUCUUCC